rnacentral:rRNA from 1 species
CCCUUAGAUGUCCGGGGCCGCACGCGCGCUACACUGAAGGAAUCAGCGUGGCUUUCUCCCUGACCCGAAAGGGUUGGGAAACCCGUUGAAUCUCCUUCGUGAUAGGGAUUGGGGCUUGAAAUUGUUCCCCAUGAACGAGGAAUUCCCAGUAAGCGUGAGUCAUAAGCUCGCGUUGAUUACGUCCCUGCCCUUUGUACACACCGCCCGUCGCUACUACCGAUUGAACGGUUUAGUGAGGGCCUCGGAUUGGUCUCGGCCCGCUCUUUACCGGGCGGCGCCGUUGGUCGAGAAGACGCUCGAACUUGAUCGUUUAGAGGAAGUAAAAGUCGUAACA